rnacentral:rRNA from 1 species
UACAGAGGGGGCAAGCGUUAUUCGGAAUUAUUGGGCGUAAAGGGCGCGUAGGCGGCCUGGCAAGUGGAAGGUGAAAUCCCUCGGCUUAACCGAGGAACUGCCCUCCAAAACUGCUUGGCUUGAGUCUGGGAGAGGUGAGUGGAAUUCCCAGUGUAGCGGUGAAAUGCGUAGAUAUUGGGAGGAACACCAGUGGCGAAGGCGGCUCACUGGACCGGAACUGACGCUGAGGCGCGAAAGCGUGGGGAGCAAACGGG